rnacentral:lncRNA from 1 species
CUUAUUUCAUGAACCUGAAUAGGCUGGAAGACAAGAAUAAAAAUGUGGAUUUAACUGGUGAUUUCUCUGACAUGAUAGAAGAUAAAUCAAGCCACUGAUGACAGCAGAAAGUUGAAUUCUCAACUGGUUUUGCCAUUAGCAAGUAAUUUUUUGUGCUGUUGACAUGAUAAGAAUAGAAAACAGACAAUGAAGCAGAAUUAUUAAACACCUAUGGGUGAUACACCAGAUUUCAUCUCUCGUUUUGGGACAUAGUUGAAUUCCACUUGGAAUAAAGAAUUCUCAGGAGUAACAUCAUGGAGCCUUGUAAAUCCACUAAAAUAUCAACCAUGGUACAGGUUAAAAUGGAUUUUUUCUAAUUUAUGGCACAUAUUAACAUCUUUUUAAAGGUUCACUUUGCCCUGUUAAGAGUUACAAUGGAAGAUAAAAGAAUUACUUAUUUAAUCUGAAUCCACUCUUGGCAUUGUAGCUGCUUUUUCUGUCUGUCAGAACAUGACAGAAGGAAUCAACUUGUGCCUGUUGACUGGGAAAAUGAGAUCAGUGCACUUCUAGGGGUUCUAAGUUGUCAGCUUUGGUGGAAGAUGGGAUGCUCCCAGUCCAGAAAGGUGACAAGACCAGUGUUACAACCCUCAAUCCAUCCCCCGAGUGUCUGUGGUGAGCUCAGAGUGGCUGCAGACCCUGGAAUGCAAUGCAGGUAUACAAGAUGGUGCACAAGAAAUUGAAACUAUUCUCUGCUGGAUGGGCCUUGCUGCUGUAUGAAGGAAUGCAAAACAGCCAUGCCUCAAGCAGUAUCAAUGCCAUCUGGGACACCUGCUCACAUCCAUGCUUGCUUCAAGGCCUUCCAGUGAGCCCCUGAGCUGGACCAACCUCAUCUGGACUGGUCUGUUCAUCCUGGUUGAAGAAACCUGGCAAGGAUAUCACUUUACUUCUUCAGCUUGGUAAGAAUUUUAUAUACUUCCCAAUUUUCA